rnacentral:rRNA from 1 species
AGCCUUAAGGAAUAAUAUUUAAGGUGAUGUCUGCCCGGUGAUCAAUAUUUAACGGCCGCAGUACUUUGACUGUGCUAAGGUAGCAUAAUAAAUUGACCUUUAAUUGAGGCCUAGAAUGAAAGGAUAAUUAAAAAUUGUCUGUCUUUAUUUAAUUUAAUAAAAUUUACUUAUUAGGUGAAAAUUCCUAAACUAUCUACAUAAGACGAGAAGACCCUAUGAAUUAUUAUUAAACGAUUUUUUUCUCGUUAAUUUUUGUUGGGGCAACAACGUUGGAGAUUUAACCAACGAUGAAAUUAAAAUUUAAGUCAACUCUAUUUCAAAAAAAAUAAAUUACCUUAGGGAUAACAGCAUAAUUAUUGUUUUAGUUUGUGACCUCGAUGUUGGAUUAAGGACUUUAAUUAUUAGACAUAAUUAAAGCUAGUUCUGUUCGAACUAUGUAACCUU